UUGCUGGGUGGAGGCGGGGAGACCUGUGAGGAGGUUGCUGCAGUGAUCCAGGCACUGGGUGGUGGCUCCGACGAGGGUGAUGUUGUGGAGAUAGGGAUGGUGCAAGCAUGGGCUUCUGGGUUUAUUUUGAAGGUAGGACCUGCAGGAUUACUUGAUGGAGUAGAUGUGAGGUGUGAGAAAAAGGAUGAGCAGAAAUGACUCCAAGAUAAUUGGUCUGAGCCACUGGAAGGGUGAACCUGCCUUUAAUCAAGAUGAGAAGGCUACAGGUGGAGCCGGUGUGGACAGGAAGAGGAGGAUGCAUUUUGGACACACUCUGUUUGAGAUGUCUUAUCAGAAGACAUCCUGGGCUUCUGCUCCUCGUCUGGUCUGAAUGAAAGUUGUGAGACAGCAGGUGAAACAAGCAGAGAACGACCUGGCUGCCUUAGCUCAAGAGGGAUUCACAAGCGCGUCCUAGGCCACACCAGGGUUUUUCAGGACACUGCGAGGGUGGACCAGGCAACUGGCAUAACAUUUAGCUAUGUCCAAUUUUU